AAAUACAUUACUGAUUACUCCAAUCAAUGGAAAGUUAAUUUUGAUUCUUCGCCGGGACAUAAAGGAAGCUUUUCGUCGCUCUUCGUUAUAUCCAUCCAGCGAGCACUAUAUAUAUGGAGAGUUCACGCAUUUUCUGGAAACACAUUAUGGCUAUGGGUAGUGAUUUGAUUAAUUAUUCGACCAAACGACAUCAUAUUUGGGAAUCUGUCUCAUGUCUUCAUGAGAAACGAUCGAGAAUCCCUCUAUUCGUCUCCUAGUCUAAGUUUUCCUAUUCCUUCGGAAAGAGUUCCAAGGUGGGUUUCGCGCGACUCUCAUCAUCUUCACUUAGAUGCUAAUGUUAAAGAAGUGCAAGCCUCGGAAUAGGUUUCCUUAGUGACUAAGGAACGAUUAAUGAAGAAAGUGAAGAGAUUUUAUCGUUUUGGAUGAUUUUUCAAGUUAAUGAGUAUAAAGUUCAUUCAUGAAUUACUCCUUGACACGUAGUGACGAAUGAUUAACUUAAGUGAUAUAUAGGAAUAUAAUCAAUAUUUUGAAGAGGAAAAAAAAUUGUAUCCGAACGAACUACUUUGGAUACUCAAACGAUCAAAAACACUGUAUUGUCUUCCAACGCAAAUAAAAAAGUAUCAGGCCUAAAUAUUGCUGCAAGAGGCUAAAGUAAUAGAAAUUACUGUUAUGUGGAGUGUCAAAAUCAAAUGAACACAAAUAGUUGGACAACAGAUAAUGAGGUAAUUAAGUAUGAGAAGAAAUAAAAAAUAAAUUUCAUAGAAAAAUAAUUAUAUAUUACUGAAUAUCAUUUAACUUCCUUGUAAAUACUAUAACGAAUAUUUAUAUUAUUCGUAAUGUAUAUUUUUGGAUUUAUGUAGGUAUACAAAUUAAUUUCUCAGGUAGCAUCCAGACUAAUUAUGAUUAAAGAUGUACAAACAUAUGCAGUCAGAAACCCCCUUUCAUAAUACAAUACAAUGAAUUUUGACAUAUUUAGCCUAUACUUUUAUUUUAAAAUAAGCUAAAUUUAUCAUUGGAAGUAAAUCGUUCAAUAUUAACUAUUUGAUAAAAUAUAACACUUUUGGACAUGAU
rnacentral:lncRNA from 1 species